GAAAGACUCGAGAAACUUUCUGCAUUGUCAGCACAGAUUGAGACACUUUCGAGGAUGUUUGAAGCUUUUGAAGCUCAGCGUCGUCAAAGUAUGGUGGUUACUUGUGAUUAUUGUGCUGGAAAUCAUAUGAGUCAUCAAUGCACCAUCAGUUUCGAGCCGGUACAGUAUAGUGGUGAUUACCCCAACAGUCAUGUCUAUCCCAACAACUAUCAUCAGGAUUGGGGGUAUCACCCAGAUUUUUCAGGGAGUAACAAUUAAGAUCAAUUUUAUGCUCCAAGUCCAACAUACCCACAGGAUUUCUUGUGUCCACCUCCACUACAACAGGAAGAACAUUCAAAUUGGGAGGAAGCCUUGGAAAAAUUUAUUAAAGCUUCUGAAAAAAGGAAUGAGGAACAAGACAAGAAAAUGAAUCAAGUAGAGCUGAAUUUGCAAAGCCAAGGGGCGUUGAUCAAGAAUUUGGAAAAUCAAGUGGAACAGAUAGCACAUGCGUUGAACAACC
rnacentral:lncRNA from 1 species